rnacentral:tRNA from 2 species
GUUACUUUGGUCUAACGGCAAAGACGGCGGACUUCUAAUCUGUAAAUCUGGGUUCGACUCCUAGAAGUAACA